AUUUAAUUUAUGUAAAUAAUCAAAUAAUAAAUAAUAUAAAAAAUAAUUAUUUUCAUUUGAAAUUACAUGAAAAAAUAAUAAAUAAUAAUAAUAAAAUUAUUAAUACUGAUGUAAAUUAUUUUCGAUAGGAUUUAUUUUAUCUACAGUACAAAUAAAAUGUAUGCAUUCUUAACUAAUCUGCUAUACUAAGAAUAAAAGUAGAAAGAUAUGCAAGAUUUUAUCUUUACUUGAAUAUAACUUGUAGAUAACGAUUUCCACAAUAUACUCAUUUAUUCGUUCUGAGUAUGAAAACGAUUUUGUAGUUUCAUACUGAUAUAGUAUUGCUUUGCGUGACUUUUGGGUGGGAGAGAUGGCGCCUUGUUGGCGCAUUUGGAAUUCAGGUGAAGUCAGUUACUCGAUCGAUAUUUACACCGUAAUUUCUAUAUCUUUAGAAUGUGCCAGUCCGCUGUAUUUGGCUAGUGCUGCAAUACUACCUUAUCCCUCUAUUUUAGUCAGGAAAGUAUUAGCAGGUGGCUACACUUCAGAAAAUCUAUUACAAUUGUCGAAAGGGAAGAGAGAUUAUUAAUUCUAUUCAAAUGAAUGUAUUCGGUCUACGCUUCAGAAAAUAAUAUAUUGAACGGUAUUUUAAUUAAUUUUUUCGUCGUAUUAAUUGCAAGUUAUUUUUUAUUUUAUAAUGCAACGAAAUACAAAAGUUGAUUGAC
rnacentral:lncRNA from 1 species